AUGAGGAAAAUUAGCGAAGGUAAAGAGGUGGAUGUUUCUAAUCAAAAAAAAGGAAAUUCUAGAAGAAAGCCUAAGGACAUUAAUCUAGAAAAAAUCCUAACGACCCCAUUAAACAAAAGGUCUACCAUUAGGUCACUUGCUUGGCAACUGGGGUGUAGCCCUACCACACUUCAUAGAAAGUUCAUGUUA
rnacentral:rRNA from 1 species